GAUGAACGCUAGCGGCAGGCUUAAUACAUGCAAGUCGAACGGUAAGUUUGGUAGCAAUAUCAAACCAAGAGUGACGUACGGGUGCGUAACACGUAUGCAACCUACCUUGUACAGGAGUAUAGCUCGGGGAAACUCGAAUUAACCCUCCAUGAGAUCAUAGAAUGGCAUCAUUUAGNGAUUAAAACUCAGGUGGUACAAGAUGGGCAUGCGUCUGAUUAGUUAGGGCGGGGUAAUGGCCCACCAAGCGAUGAUCAGUAGGGGACCUGAGAGGGU
rnacentral:rRNA from 1 species